rnacentral:rRNA from 1 species
AGAGUUUGAUCCUGGCUCAGGAUGAACGCUGGCGGCAUGCCUAAUACAUGCAAGUCGAACGAGAGACCUUCGGGUCUCUAGUGGCGAACGGGUGAGUAACACGUAGGGAACCUGCCCGCGCACCGGGAAUACGCUCUGGAAACGGAGAACAAAUCCCGAUGUACAGGAAGGAGGCAUCUUCUUUCUGUGAAACAUCCUUUCGGGGAUGGGGCGCGGAUGGACCUGCGGUGCAUUAGUUGGUUGGCGGGGUAAAGGCCCACCAAGACGAUGAUGCAUAGCCGGCCUGAGAGGGCGGACGGCCACAUUGGGACUGAGACACGGCCCAGACUCCUGCGGGAGGCAGCAGUAGGGAAUUUUCGUCAAUGGGCGCAAGCCUGAACGAGCGAUGCCGCGUGAGUGAAGAAGGCCUUCGGGUCGUAAAGCUCUGUUGCGGGGGAAAAAAGGCAGCAUCAGGAAAUGGGUGCUGACUGAUGGUGCCCCGCCAGAAAGUCACGGCUAACUACGUGCCAGCAGCCGCGGUAAUACGUAGGUGGCGAGCGUUAUCCGGAAUGAUUGGGCGUAAAGGGUGCGCAGGCGGUCCUGCAAGUCUGGAGUGAAACGCAUGAGCUCAACUCAUGCAUGGCUUUGGAAACUGGAGGACUGGAGAGCAGGAGAGGGCGGUGGAACUCCAUGUGUAGCGGUAAAAUGCGUAGAUAUAUGGAAGAACACCAGUGGCGAAGGCGGCCGCCUGGCCUGUUGCUGACGCUGAGGCACGAAAGCGUGGGGAGCAAAUAGGAUUAGAUACCCUAGUAGUCCACGCCGUAAACGAUGAGGACCAAGUGUUGGGGGUGAAACCUCAGUGCUGAAGUUAACGCAGUGAGUCCUCCGCCUGGGGAGUAUGCACGCAAGUGUGAAACUCAAAGGAAUUGACGGGGGCCCGCACAAGCGGUGGAGUAUGUGGUUUAAUUCGAAGCAACGCGAAGAACCUUACCAGGCCUUGACAUGGGAUGCGAAGAUGCAGAGAUGCAUCGGAGGUCAACAUCCACACAGGUGGUGCAUGGUUGUCGUCAGCUCGUGUCGUGAGAUGUUGGGUCAAGUCCCGCAACGAGCGCAACCCUUGUGGCAUGUUGCUAACAGGAAAAGCUGAGGACUCAUGCCAGACUGCCGGUGACAAACCGGAGGAAGGCGGGGAUGACGUCAAAUCAUCAUGCCCCUUAUGGCCUGGGCUACACACGU